rnacentral:tRNA from 1 species
CAGGGAGACAACAAAAUGUUAAAUAUUAAUUUUGUCACCUUAGGUCGAUCGGUACCUCACAUCCUUAUUUUAUUAAGGAUUUUAUUUCCUAAGUUUUUUCUAGGUCACACCCAUUACUUUUCCUGGGCCAUUAGCUCAGGUGGUUAGAGCGCACCCCUGAUAAGGGUGAGGUCCCUGGUUCAAGUCCAGGAUGGCCCAUAUCUCUAUGUUGGGGGUAUAGCUCAGUUGGUAGAGCGCCUGCUUUGCAAGCAGGAUGUCAGCGGUUCGAGUCCGCUUACCUCCACUGAUUACCACCUCUUCCAUAAUCUUAAUAGGAGGGAAAUGUUUUGAGUUGUGAUCAAAUUCUGAACGAAUCUAGCUUCCUAAUCAAAUUAUUAAGACGCUGGACUCAUUGAAUUAAAUUCAUUGUUUUCAGAGAACCUUGACAACUGCAUAGAUUAUUUUAAAAACAAUAAGCAUCUUUAAAGAUGCAGAUUUAUUAUUUUUGCGAAUGCAUUAAUAACAAUUCUAUUAAGCUGAUGCUUCAAUUUUUGAAGUUAUU